CGGACGGGUGAGUAAUGCUUGGGAAUCUGGCUUAUGGAGGGGGAUAACUACGGGAAACUGUAGCUAAUACCGCGUAGUAUCGGAAGAUGAAAGUGCGGGACCGUAAGGCCGCAUGCCAUGGGAUGAGCCCAAGUGGGAUUAGGUAGUUGGUGGGGUAAAGGCCUACCAAGCCUGCGAUCUCUAGCUGGUCUGAGAGGAUGGCCAGCCACACUGGAACUGAGACACGGUCCAG
rnacentral:rRNA from 1 species